GCCAGAAGGAACUCAAAGAGUCGAUGGCGAAGUUUGAUCUAGACCACUCUGGGCGCAUAGAGUUCA
rnacentral:tRNA from 1 species